GAUGAACGCUGGCGGCGUGCCUAAUACAUGCAAGUCGAGCGAACAGACGAGGAGCUUGUUCCUUUGUCGUGAGGGGAGGAGGGGUGAGUAACACGUAGGUAACCUCCCUAUAAGACGGGGAUAACUUCGGGAAACCGGAGCAAACACGGGAUAAUAUUUCGAACCGCAUGGUUCGAUAGUGAAAGAUGGCUUUGCUAUAACUACUAGAUGGACCUGCGCCGUAUUAGCUAGUUGGUAAGUUAAAGGCCUACCAAGGCAAGGAUACGUAGCCGACCUGAGAGGGUGAUCGGCCACACUGGAACUGAGACACGGUCCAGACUCCUACGGGAGGCAGCAGUAGGGAAUCUUCCGCAAUGGGCGAAAGCCUGACGGAGCAACGCCGCGUGAGUGAUGAAGGUCUUCGGAUCGUAAAACUCUGUUAUGAGGGAAGAACAAACUUGUAAGUAACUGUGCACGGCGUGACGGUACCUAAUCAGAAAGCCACGGCUAACUACGUG
rnacentral:rRNA from 1 species